rnacentral:rRNA from 1 species
GAUGAACGCUAGCGGCAGGCCUAACACAUGCAAGUCGAGGGAGAAGCCCUUCGGGGCAGAAACCGGCGCACGGGUGCGUAACGCGUAUGCAACCUACCUUUCACAGGGGGAUAGCCCGAAGAAAUUUGGAUUAAUACCCCAUAAUAUUAUUGGAUGGCAUCAUUUGAUAAUUAAAAUUACGAUGGUGAAAGAUGGGCAUGCGUCCUAUUAGCUAGUUGGAGUGGUAACGGCACCCCAAGGCUACGAUAGGUAGGGGUCCUGAGAGGGAGAUCCCCCACACUGGUACUGAGACAGGGACCAGACUCCUACGGGAGGCAGCAGUGAGGAAUAUUGGUCAAUGGUCGGAAGACUGAACCAGCCAUGCCGCGUGCAGGAAGAAUGCCUUAUGGGUUGUAAACUGCUUUUAUAUGGGAAGAAUAAGGAGUACGCGUACUUUGAUGACG